rnacentral:rRNA from 1 species
AACGAACGCUGGCGGCAUGCCUAACACAUGCAAGUCGAACGAGACCUUCGGGUCUAGUGGCGCACGGGUGCGUAACGCGUGGGAACCUGCCCUGAGGUUCGGAAUAACACAGAGAAAUUUGUGCUAAUACCGGAUAAUGUCUUCGGACCAAAGAUUUAUCGCCUUUGGAUGGGCCCGCGUAGGAUUAGCUAGUUGGUGAGGUAAAGGCUCACCAAGGCGACGAUCCUUAGCUGGUCUUAGAGGAUGAUCAGCCACACUGGGACUGAGACACGGCCCAGACUCCUACGGGAGGCAGCAGUGGGGAAUAUUGGACAAUGGGCGAAAGCCUGAUCCAGCAAUGCCGCGUGAGUGAUGAAGGCCUUAGGGUUGUAAAGCUCUUUUACCUGGGAUGAUAAUGACAGUACCAGGAGAAUAAGCCCCGGCUAACUCCGUGCCAGCCGCCGCUGUAACAC